rnacentral:rRNA from 1 species
UACGUAGGGGGCAAGCGUUGUCCGGAAUCAUUGGGCGUAAAGAGCGUGUAGGCGGCUCGGUAAGUCCGCUCUGAAAGCCCGGGGCUCAACCCCGGGAGGCGGGCGGAUACUGUCGGGCUAGAGUCCGGAAGAGGCGAGUGGAAUUCCUGGUGUAGCGGUGAAAUGCGCAGAUAUCAGGAGGAACACCAAUGGCGAAGGCAGCUCGCUGGGACGGUACUGACGCUGAGACGCGAAAGCGUGGGGAGCAGACAGG